UACGUAGGGGGCGAGCGUUGUCCGGAGUUACUGGGCGUAAAGGGCAUGCAGGCGGUCGGACGCGUUUGCUGUGACAGCGGGUGGCUUAACUGCCCGAGGAUAGCAAAGACGGUCUGACUUGAGGGCUCGAGAGGGACACGGAAUUCCGGGUGGAGUGGUGAAAUGCGUAGAGAUCCGGAGGAACACCAAAGGCGAAGGCAGUGUCCUGGCGAGCACCUGACGCUGAGGUGCGAAAGCUAGGGGAGCGAACGGG
rnacentral:rRNA from 1 species